GUGCUUCUUUGGCAGCACAUAUACUAAAAUUGGAACGAUACAGAGAAGAUUAGUAUGGCCCCUGUGCAAAAAGCGAUAUAUAGGGCUGGUGGUGGCACACAUGUUA
rfam:Erinaceus europaeus unplaced genomic scaffold scaffold01372, whole genome shotgun sequence